GUGCUCUCUUCGGUAGCAUAUAUUAUUGGAACGAUACAGAGAAGAUUGGCAUGGCCCCUGUGCGAGGAUGACAUGCAAAUUCGUGAAGCGUUCCAUAUUUAA
rnacentral:snRNA from 1 species